rnacentral:rRNA from 1 species
GACGAACGCUGGCGGCGUGCUUAACACAUGCAAGUCGAACGGAAAGGCCCUGCUUUUGUGGGGUGCUCGAGUGGCGAACGGGUGAGUAACACGUGAGUAACCUGCCCUUGACUUUGGGAUAACUUCAGGAAACUGGGGCUAAUACCGGAUAGGAGCUCCUGCUGCAUGGUGGGGGUUGGAAAGUUUCGGCGGUUGGGGAUGGACUCGGGGCUUAUCAGCUUGUUGGUGGGGUAGUGGCUUACCAAGGCUUUGACGGGUAGCCGGCCUGAGAGGGUGACCGGCCACAUUGGGACUGAGAUACGGACCAGACUCCUACGGGAGGCAGCAGUGGGGAAUAUUGCACAAUGGGCGGAAGCCUGAUGCAGCAACGCCGCGUGCGGGAUGACGGCCUUCGGGUUGUAAACCGCUUUCGCCUGUGACGAAGCGUGAGUGACGGUAAUGGGUAAAGAAGCACCGGCUAACUACGUG